rnacentral:rRNA from 1 species
GACGAACGCUGGCGGCGUGCUUAACACAUGCAAGUCGAACGGAAAGGCCUCUUUCGUGGGGUACUCGAGUGGCGAACGGGUGAGUAACACGUGAGUAACCUGCCCUUGACUUUGGGAUAACUUCAGGAAACUGGGGCUAAUACCUGAUAGGAGCUCCUGCUGCAUGGUGGGGGUUGGAAAGUUUCGGCGGUUGGGGGUGGACUCGCGGCUUAUCAGCUUGUUGGUGGGGUAGUGGCUUACCAAGGCUUUGACGGGUAGCCGGCCUGAGAGGGUGACCGGCCACAUUGGGACUGAGAUAAGGCCCAGACGCCUAAGGGGGGCAGCAGUGGGGAAUAUUGCACAAUGGGUGGAAGCCUGAUGCAGCAACGCCGUGUGCGGGAUGACGGCCUUCGGGUUGUAAACCGCUUUCGCUCAUGACGAAGCUUUGUGUGACGGUAGUGGGUAAAGAAGCACCGGCUAACUACGUG